rnacentral:rRNA from 1 species
AGUGAACGCUGGCGGUAUGCCUAACACAUGCAAGUCGAACGGCAGCACAGUAAGAGCUUGCUCUUACGGGUGGCGAGUGGCGGACGGGUGACGAAUAGAUCAGAAUCUACUUUUUCGUGGGUGAUAACGGAGAGAAACUGACGCUAAUACCUCAUACAACCUACGGCUUAGAGCAAGGGAGCUUCAGGCCUUUCGCGAUUGAAUUAGACGGUUUCGGAUUAGCUAGUUGGGUUGGUAACGGCGCACCAAGGCGACGCUGCGUAGCGGGUCUGAGAGGAUGAUCGGCCACACUGGAACUGAGACACGGUCCAGACUCCUACGGGAGGCAGCAGUGGGGAAUAUUGGACAAUGGGCGCAAGCCUGAUCCAGCCAUGCCGCGUGGGUGAAGAAGGCCUUCGGGUUGUAAAGCCCUUUUGUUGGGAAAGAAAAGCAGCAGGUUAAUCCCCCGAUGUUCUGACGGUACCUAAAGAAUAAGCACCGGCUAACUUCGUG